ACCUGGCUGGCUCACUUGGUAGGGCAUGGGACUCUUAAUCUCAGGAUCGUGAGUUUAAGCCCCAUGUUGGGCG
rnacentral:tRNA from 1 species